ACACAAAUCAACAGUGAACAAGAGGAGAAAGAAGAACAAAGUGAGCAAAAGGCAAAAACCACGCUUCAUUUCAUUCCAUUGUGUUUUUCCUUUUGUCUCACUUUCUUCUUUCUUUCUUCCACUU
rnacentral:ribozyme from 1 species